AGACCCGAAACCCGGUGAUCUAGCCAUGGGCAGGUUGAAGGUUGGGUAACACUAACUGGAGGACCGAACCGACUAAUGUUGAAAAAUUAGCGGAUGACCUGUGGCUGGGGGUGAAAGGCCAAUCAAACCGGGAGAUAGCUGGUUCUCCCCGAAAGCUAUUUAGGUAGCGCCUCGUGAAUUCAUCUCCGGGGGUAGAGCACUGUUUCGGCUAGGGGGCCAUCCCGGCUUACCAACCCGAUGCAAACUGCGAAUACCGGAGAAUGUUAUCACGGGAGACACACGGCGGGUGCUAACGUCCGUCGUGAAGAGGGAAACAACCCAGACCGCCAGCUAAGGUCCCAAAGUCAUGGUUAAGUGGGAAACGAUGUGGGAAGGCCCAGACAGCCAGGAUGUUGGCUUAGAAGCAGCCAUCAUUUAAAGAAAGCGUAAUAGCUCACUGGUCGAGUCGGCCUGCGCGGAAGAUGUAACGGGGCUAAACCAUGCACCGAAGCUGCGGCAGCGACGCUGAUGCGUUGUUGGGUAGGGGAGCGUUCUGUAAGCCUGCGAAGGUGGCCUGUGAGGGUUGCUGGAGGUAUCAGAAGUGCGAAUGCUGACAUAAGUAACGAUAAAGCGGGUGAAAAGCCCGCUCGCCGGAAGACCAAGGGUUCCUGUCCAACGUUAAUCGGGGCAGGGUGAGUCGACCCCUAAGGCGAGGCCGAAAGGCGUAGUCGAUGGGAAACGGGUUAAUAUUCCCGUACUUGGUGUUACUGCGAAGGGGGGACGGAGAAGGCUAUGUUGGCCGGGCG
rnacentral:rRNA from 2 species